rnacentral:rRNA from 1 species
UACAGAGGGUGCGAGCGUUAAUCGGAAUUAUUGGGCGUAAAGAGCUUGUAGGCGGUCUGUCGCGUCUGCUGUGAAAAUCCGGGGCUCAACCCCGGACUUGCAGUGGGUACGGGCAGACUAGAGUGUGGUAGGGGAGACUGGAAUUCCUGGUGUAGCGGUGAAAUGCGCAGAUAUCAGGAGGAACACCGAUGGCGAAGGCAGGUCUCUGGGCCACUACUGACGCUGAGAAGCGAAAGCAUGGGGAGCGAACAGG